rnacentral:rRNA from 1 species
UACAGAGGGUGCGAGCGUUGUUCGGAAUUACUGGGCGUAAAGCGCGCGCAGGCGGUCCUUUAAGUCUACCCGUGAAAUGCCGGAGCUCAACUCCGUGCACGCCGGGGGAUACUGGGGGACUGGAGACAUGUAGAGGCAAGCGGAAUUCCAGGUGUAGCGGUGAAAUGCGUAGAGAUCUGGAGGAAUACCGGUGGCGAAGGCGGCCCCCUGGACAAAGACUGACGCUCAGGUGCGAAAGCGUGGGGAGCAAACAGG